UUGUGGAUGUCUAUGGGUUACAGUAACCAC
rnacentral:sRNA from 1 species